ensembl:lincRNA Gm29387 predicted gene 29387
UUGAGCCAGUUCUAUGAUGGAGUGCUACACCCAGCAAAGGACAUGGACCAAGAGAGAGACCGAAUACCUGAAAAGAGGGACUCCAGGAGUUCCUGGGACCCUGGCAAUGAGAAAUCUGAAGAACAGAGGUGUUGGGGGGCAGGAAGAUAGUCAGAGAACUGUGUCACCAUCACACUGAAAGGUCCUCAACGAGGCUUCCUCAUACAGUGGACAAUACUGAGAGGGUAUGGAGCACUGUUGAAUCCAGAGGACUGCUUUGUGCUAACUCAGCAAGGAAAAUAUGUUCCAGAAACGGAACAUCAAUGUUUACGUUGUAAUAAUCCAAAUGCUGUCUGCUGAUGUGAGAAGAUGUUUGGACAUCUGACAGAAUCAUGAAGAACAUUCCCAAAGGCCAACACUCCCCUAAGAUGCAUCCAGUGGAGCUGGGAAGACGAUGCAAACUCAAGCUGGGAAGAGGAUGCAAACUCAAGCUGGGAAGACGAUGCAAACUCAAGCCCACGUUACCUCCCACUUCCAGUGGAGAACAUGAUCAUAAAAAGGAAUAAGCAGUUACCAUCAGUGUUUGUCCCUUCCAUCAGAGGCUGAAAUCACAGAUCUUGGCUAAGGAAUACAGUAGGUUGCAU